AAAAGGAAAGAUUCUAAGAAUAAUUUUAUUCCACCAUAGUUGCACCAAACCAUGAUGCUUUGAUUCCUCUCUCCACCCUCUCAAUCGCAACUUGCGCACCAAUAGCAGCUUCAAAGACGUUCUGAUUUCGCUCUCCACUUGUCUCAGUCAGAAGCUGUGCACCAAUGGCAACCUCAAUGGUAGAUCUCUAAAUUUAAUUUUUCUUUGGUGAGGUUGUUGUAGAGUUUGGAUAGGAGGAAUUGUGCAGACUCCAGUGUUGUGGGCUUGGCACAGUAUUCUAAAACGUAUAAACCGUGGUUUGUUGUA
rnacentral:lncRNA from 1 species